GAUGAACGCUGGCGGCGUGCCUAAUACAUGCAAGUCGAGCGAAUGGAUUAAGAGCUUGCUCUUAUGAAGUUAGCGGCGGACGGGUGAGUAACACGUGGGUAACCUGCCCAUAAGACUGGGAUGACUCCGGGAAACCGGGGCUAAUACCGGAUAACAUUUUGAACCGCAUGGUUCGAAAUUGAAAGGCGGCUUCGGCCGUCACUUAUGGAUGGACCCGCGUCGCAUUAGCUAGUUGGUGAGGUAACGGCUCACCAAGGCAACGAUGCGUAGCCGACCUGAGAGGGUGAUCGGGCAGACGGGGAGUGAGACCCGGCCCAGACUCCUACGGGAGGGAGCAGUAGGGAAUCUUCCGCAAUGGACGAAAGUCUGACGGAGCAACGCCGCGUGAGUGAUGAAGGCUUUCGGGUCGUAAAACUCUGUUGUUAGGGAAGAACAAGUGCUAGUUGAAUAAGCUGGCACCUUGACGGUACCUAACCAGAAAGCCACGGCUAACUACGUGCCAGCAGCCGCGGUAA
rnacentral:rRNA from 1 species